rnacentral:rRNA from 1 species
GAUGAACGCUGGCGGCGUGCCUAAUACAUGCAAGUCGAACGCGCAGCGAAAGGUGCUUGCACCUUUCAAGCGAGUGGCGAACGGGUGAGUAACACGUGGAUAACCUGCCUCAAGGCUGGGGACAACAUUUGGAAACAGAUGCUAAUACCGAAUAAAACUUAGUAUCGCAUGAUACAAAGUUAAAAGGCGCUACGGCGUCACCUAGAGAUGGAUCCGCGGUGCAUUAGUUAGGUGGUGGGGUAAAGGCUUACCAAGACGAUGAUGCAUAGCCGAGUUGAGAGACUGAUCGGCCACAUUGGGACUGAGACACGGCCCAAACUCCUACGGGAGGCUGCAGUAGGGAAUCUUCCACAAUGGGCGCAAGCCUGAUGGAGCAACGCCGCGUGUGUGAUGAAGGCUUUCGGGUCGUAAAGCACUGUUGUAUGGGAAGAAAUGCUAAAAUAGGGAAUGAUUUUAGUUUGACGGUACCAUACCAGAAAGGGACGGCUAAAUACGUGCCAGCCGCCGCUGUAA